UGCUGCUUCGCUGACGAGUGGCGGACGGGUGAGUAAUGUCUGGGAAACUGCCUGAUGGAGGGGGAUAACUACUGGAAACGGUGGCUAAUACCGCAUAACGUCUCAAGACCAAAGAGGGGGACCUUCGGGCCUCUUGCCAUCAGAUGUGCCCAGAUGGGAUUAGCUUGUUGGUGAGGUAACGGCUCACCAAGGCGACGAUCCCUAGCUGGUCUGAGAGGAUGACCAGCCACACUGGAACUGAGACACGGUCCAGACUCCUACGGGAGGCAGCAGUGGGGAAUAUUGCACAAUGGGCGCAAGCCUGAUGCAGCCAUGCCGCGUGUAUGAAGAAGGCCUUCGGGUUGUAAAGUACUUUCAGCGGGGAGGAAGGUGUUGUGGUUAAUAACCACAGCAAUUGACGUUACCCGCAGAAGAAGCACCGGCUAACUCCGUGCCAGCAGCCGCGGUAAUACGGAGGGUGCAAGCGUUAAUCGGAAUUACUGGGCGUAAAGCGCACGCAUGCG
rnacentral:rRNA from 1 species